AAGUCGGAAUUGCUAGUAAUGGCAGGUCAGCAUACUGCCGUGAAUACGUUCCCGGGCCCUUGUACACACCGCCCGUCACACCAUGAGAGUUGGAGAUACCCGAAGCCUGUGAGCUAACUUUUAGAGGCAGCAGUCGAAGGUAGAAUCAAUGAUUGGGGUGAAGUCGUAACAAGGUAUC
rnacentral:rRNA from 1 species